rnacentral:rRNA from 1 species
CCCCGGGAAACUGGGGCUAAUUCUCGAUAGGUGAAGAACUCUGGAAUGAGUCUUUGCCAAAAAGACGUUUACGUUAUGCUCGUAGGCGUCGCCCAAGGAUGAGGCCGCGACCGAUCAGGUUGUUGGUGAGGUAAUGGCUCACCAAGCCUUUUACCGGUGCGGGCCGUGAGAGCGGGAGCCCGGAGAUGGGCACUGAGACAAGGGCCCAGGCCCUACGGGGCGCAGCAGUCGCGAAAACUUUGCAAUACACGAAAGUGUGACAGGGCUAUCCCGAGUGCCAUCCGCUGAGGAAGGCUUUUACCCAGUCUAGAACGCUGGGGGAAUAAGGAGAGGGCAAGUCUGGUGUCAGCCGCCGCGGUAAUACCAGCUCUCCGAGUGGUGUGGAUGUUUAUUGGGCCUAAAGCAUCCGUAGCUGGCUGAGUUAGUCCCUUGUUAAAUCCACCGAAUUAAUCGUUGGAUUGCGGGGGAUACUGCUCGGCUAGGGGACGAGAGAGGCAGACGGUAUUUCUGGGGUAGGGGUGAAAUCCUAUAAUCCCAGGAGGACCACCAGUGGCGAAGGCUGUCUGCUAGAACGCGCCCGACGGUGAGGGAUGAAAGCUGGGGGAGCGAACCGGAUUAGAUACCCGGGUAGUCCCAGCUGUAAACGAUGCAGACUAGGUGUUUGGACGGCCACGUGCCGUUCUAGUGCCGCAGGGAAGCUGUUAAGUCUGCCGCCUGGGGAGUACGAUCGCAAGAUUGAAACUUAA